GACAGCAGUAGCCACGGGAAUACAGAGGGUGCGAGCGUUAAUCGGAUUUACUGGGCGUAAAGCGUGCGUAGGCGGCUUCUUAAGUCGGAUGUGAAAUCCCUGAGCUUAACUUAGGAAUUGCAUUCGAUACUGGGAAGCUAGAGUAUGGGAGAGGAUGGUAGAAUUCCAGGUGUAGCGGUGAAAUGCGUAGAGAUCUGGAGGAAUACCGAUGGCGAAGGCAGCCAUCUGGCCUAAUACUGACGCUGAGGUACGAAAGCAUGGGGAGCAAACAGGAUUAGAUACCCCAGUAGUCCCUGUCUCUUAUAC
rnacentral:rRNA from 1 species